AGCUAAUAUAGCUUUUUUAGAAUUUUUCUGGCGAGUUUUCUGACUUCAGUUGGAAAACCCAA
rnacentral:snRNA from 1 species